AUUGAACGCUGGCGGCAGGCCUAACACAUGCAAGUCGAGCGAGCGGCGGACGGGUGAGUAAUGUAUUGGGAUCUGCCCGAUAGAGGGGGAUAACUACUGGAAACGGUAGCUAAUACCGCAUACUAUCGGAUGAACCCAUAUCGGAUUAGCUAGUUGGUGGGGUAAAGGCUCACCAAGGCAACGAUCCGUAGCUGGUUUGAGAGGACGACCAGCCACACUGGGACUGAGACACGGCCCAGACUCCUACGGGAGGCAGCAGGUGGGAAUUUUGGACAAUGGGGGAAACCCUGAUCCAGCCAUCCCGCGUGUAUGAAGAAGGCCUUCGGGUUGUAAAGUACUUUUGGCAGAGAAGCGGUAUCUGCAGAAUAAGCACCGGCUAACUAAGUGCCAGCAGCCGCGGUAAUUC
rnacentral:rRNA from 1 species